rnacentral:rRNA from 1 species
CGUAGGUGGCAAGCGUUGUCCGGAAUUACUGGGUGUAAAGGGCGUGUAGGCGGGGAGACAAGUCAGAUGUGAAAGCCCAUGGCUUAACUGUGGAACUGCAUCUGAAACUGUUUUUCUUGAGUACUGGAGAGGAAAGUGGAAUUCCUAGUGUAGCGGUGAAAUGCGUAGAUAUUAGGAGGAACACCAGUGGCGAAGGCGGCUUUCUGGACAGUAACUGACGCUGAGGCGCGAAAGCGUGGGGAGCAAACAGGAUUAGAUACCCUGGUAGUCCACGCUGUAAACGAUGGAUACUAGGUGUAGGAGGUAUCGACCCCUUCUGUGCCGGAGUUAACACAAUAAGUAUCCCACCUGGGGAGUACGGCCGCAAGGUUG